AUGCGCCAGCUAAGGCUCGUCACCAACAUGAGGGCUCAUAAUGACACCUGGUUUGCGGAUUACUUGCUAAGGGUAGGCAAUGGCACUGAGGAAGUUGACGAUCAAGGAAACAUACGACUCCCUGAAGAUAUUUGUGUGCCAUCUACAGGCGAGGGUGACGACCUAGAGAAGCUGAUUGACCAUGUGUUUCCGAGACUAGAUGACAACAUGUCCGAUCUGAAUUACAUGACUUCACGCGCAAUCCUCUCCACCACAAACGACAACGUCGACAAGAUAAACAUACGCAUGGUAGAG
rnacentral:rRNA from 1 species